GAAAUGCGAUAAGUAAUGUGAAUUGCAGAAUUCAGUGAAUCAUCGAAUCUUUGAACGCACCUUGCGCUCCUUGGUAUUCCUUGGAGCAUGCCUGUUUGAGUAUCAUGAAAUCUUCAAAGUAAAUCUUUUGUUAACUCAAUUGGUUUCUACUUUGGUAUUGGAGGUCUUUGCAGCUUCACACCUGCUCCUCUUUGUUCAUUAGCUGGAUCUCAGUCUUAUGCUUGGUUCCACUCGGCGUGAUAAGUUAUCUAUCGCUGAGGACACUGUAAAAGGUGGCCAAGGUAAAUGCAGAUGAACCGCUUCUAAUAGUCCAUUGACUUGGACAAUACUUUUAUGAUCUGAUCUCAAAUCAGGUAGGACUACCCGCUGAACUUAAGC
rnacentral:misc_RNA from 1 species